CCUACGGGAGGCAGCAGUAGGGAAUCUUCCGCAAUGGACGAAAGUCUGACGGAGCAACGCCGCGUGAACGAUGAAGGCCUUCGGGUCGUAAAGUUCUGUUGUUAGGGAAGAACAAGUGCUAGUUAAAUAAGCUGGCACCUUGACGGUACCUAACCAGAAAGCCACGGCUAACUACGUGCCAGCAGCCGCGGUAAUACGUAGGUGGCAAGCGUUGUCCGGAAUUAUUGGGCGUAAAGCGCGCGCAGGCGGUUUCUUAAGUCUGAUGUGAAAGCCCCCGGCUCAACCGGGGAGGGUCAUUGGAAACUGGGAAACUUGAGUGCAGAAGAGGAAAGUGGAAUUCCGAGUGUAGCGGUGAAAUGCGUAGAGAUUUGGAGGAACACCAGUGGCGAAGGCGACUUUCUGGUCUGUAACUGACGCUGAGGCGCGAAAGCGUGGGGAGCAAACAGGAUUAGAUACCCUGGUAGUCCACGCUGUAAACGAUGAGUGCUAAGUGUUAGAGGGUUUCCGCCUUUAGUGCUGAAGUUAACGCAUUAAGCACUCCGCCUGGGGAGUCGGUCGCAAGCGNGAACGUAAUAGAAGUUAGAGNGUUGAGAGNGCGAGCGACGACGAGGAGAGG
rnacentral:rRNA from 1 species